AUUCCAGCUCCAAUAGCGUAUAUUAAAGUUGUUGCAGUUAAAAAGCUCGUAGUUGAAUUUCUGGUGGGAGUGUACAGUCCGACACUGAGUGUUGGUUCUUGUGUGUCUCCGGCCAUCCUUGGAGUGAAUCUGUCUGGCAUUUAGUUGUUGGGCAGAGUAUCUCCAUCGUUUACUGUGAGGAAAGGAAAGUGUUCAAAGCAGGCUUACGCCGUUGAAUCUUUUAGCAUGGAAUAAUAAGAUAGGAUCUUGAUACUAUUUUGUUGGUUUCUAGAGCUGAGGUAAUGAUUAAUAGGGAUAGUUGGGGGCAUUCGUAUUUAACUGUCAGAGGUGAAAUUCUUGGAUUCGGUCAAGACUAACUUAUGCGAAAGCAUUCACCAAGGAUGUCUUCAUUG
rnacentral:rRNA from 1 species